AGUACGCCUGGGCGGCAGCUACACAUGCAAGUCGAGCGGUAGAGAGAAGCUUGCUUCUCUUGAGAGCGGCGGACGGGUGAGUAAUGCCUAGGAAUCUGCCUGGUAGUGGGGGAUAACGUUCGGAAACGAACGCUAAUACCGCAUACGUCCUACGGGAGAAAGCAGGGGACCUUCGGGCCUUGCGCUAUCAGAUGAGCCUAGGUCGGAUUAGCUAGUUGGUGAGGUAAUGGCUCACCAAGGCGACGAUCCGUAACUGGUCUGAGAGGAUGAUCAGUCACACUGGAACUGAGACACGGUCCAGACUCCUACGGGAGGCAGCAGUGGGGAAUAUUGGACAAUGGGCGAAAGCCUGAUCCAGCCAUGCCGCGUGUGUGAAGAAGGUCUUCGGAUUGUAAAGCACUUUAAGUUGGGAGGAAGGGCAUUAACCUAAUACGUUAGUGUUUUGACGUUACCGACAGAAUAAGCACCGGCUAACUCUGUGCCAGCAGCCGCGGUAAUACAGAGGGUGCAAGCGUUAAUCGGAAUUACUGGGCGUAAAGCGCGCGUAGGUGGUUUGUUAAGUUGGAUGUGAAAUCCCCGGGCUCAACCUGGGAACUGCAUUCAAAACUGACUGACUAGAGUAUGGUAGAGGGUGGGUGGAAUUUCCUGUGUAGCGGUGAAAUGCGUAGAUAUAGGAAGGAACACCAGUGGCGAAGGCGACCACCUGGACUAAUACUGACACUGAGGUGCGAAAGCGUGGGGAGCAAACAGGAUUAGAUACCCUGGUAGUCCACGCCGUAAACGAUGUCAACUAGCCGUUGGAAGCCUUGAGCUUUUAGUGGCGCAGCUAACGCAUUAAGUUGACCGCCUGGGGAGUACGGCCGCAAGGUUAAAACUCAAAUGAAUUGACGGAAGGGCG
rnacentral:rRNA from 1 species